rnacentral:rRNA from 1 species
GACGAACGCUGGCGGCGUGCUUAACACAUGCAGGUCGAACGGAAAGGCCCUGCUUUUGUGGGGUGCUCGAGUGGCGAACGGGUGAGUAACACGUGAGUAACCUGCCCUUGACUUUGGGAUAACUUCAGGAAACUGGGGCUAAUACCGGAUAGGAGCUCCUGCUGCAUGGUGGGGGUUGGAAAGUUUCGGCGGUUGGGGAUGGACUCGCGGCUUAUCAGCUUGUUGGUGGGGUAGUGGCUUACCAAGGCUUUGACGGGUAGCCGGCCUGAGAGGGUGACCGGCCGCAUUGGGACUGAGAUACGGCCCAGACUCCUACGGGAGGCAGCAGUGGGGAAUAUUGCACAAUGGGCGGAAGCCUGAUGCAGCAACGCCGCGUGCGGGAUGACGGCCUUCGGGUUGUAAACCGCUUUCGCCUGUGACGAAGCGUGAGUGACGGUAAUGGGUAAAGAAGCACCGGCUAACUACGUG